rnacentral:rRNA from 1 species
GUGAGGAAUAUUGGUCAAUGGGCGAGAGCCUGAACCAGCCAAGUCGCGUGAAGGAAGAAGGAUCUAUGGUUCGUAAACUUCUUUUGCAGGGGAAUAAAGUGCGGGACGUGUCCUGUUUUGUAUGUACCCUGAGAAUAAGGAUCGGCUAACUCCGUGCCAGCAGCCGCGGUAAUACGGAGGAUCCGAGCGUUAUCCGGAUUUAUUGGGUUUAAAGGGUGCGUAGGUGGUUUGAUAAGUCAGCGGUGAAAGUUUGCAGCUUAACUGUAAAAAUGCCGUUGAAACUGUCGGACUUGAGUGUAAAUGAGGUAGGCGGAAUGCGUGGUGUAGCGGUGAAAUGCAUAGAUAUCACGCAGAACUCCGAUUGCGAAGGCAGCUUACUAAGCUACAACUGACACUGAAGCACGAAAGCGUGGGGAUCAAACAGGAUUAGAAACCCGGGUAUCC